ensembl:scaRNA
UGGGAGGCUGAUACACAACUAGAGCUAAAGCUGCUCUAAUUGUCACACUGUUCUCCCUAUAGUAAAACUGCUUUCUGAUGACCGGGACGAAUUGAGGGAAAUCGUAACGGACAGAUACGGAGCACACAGUG